rnacentral:lncRNA from 1 species
CUGGUAAUUAAGCUCCUCUAACCUCUCUAUCACGCCCUUCUGCGUCCCCUUUUGACAGGAUGGCCUCUCAUCAUAUCCAAAAUGAGUUAGCUAUUUGCUGAGGCUUUAUUUAGUUUUGGAUCACCAAAAAGGGUGGCCUUCCGUGAACUGGUUAGUUUUCUUGAUUCUAUUGUGAUGUGUUGGUGUGUUGAUUAGAUAUCCUUUUGAGUUCUUCUUGGUUAGUUUUCUUGAUUCUGUUGUGAUGUGUUAGUGUGUUGAUUAGAUAUCCUCUUGACUUCUUCUUCAACCUCUCCUUCCACAUGGUGAGCUUGUUACUAAUUGAGACCCUAAUUUAGUUUGGAUGCAGAGGGUCUACAACUCUAGAUCUAAAAAGGUGGUCUUUAGUGUCCAAUUUUGUUUACGCUGUCUGGUUAUUCGUUUAUUAAAUCCUCUCUUGUANNNNNNNNNNNNNNNNNNNNNNNNNNNNNNNNNNNNNNNNNNNNNNNNNNNNNNNGGGAUCAAGCGAGGCAACUUCACAGAACAAGAGGAGAAGCUCAUAAUCCAUCUCCAAGCUCUUCUUGGCAAUAGGUAAAAUAUCAGCAAACAUGCCUUAGAUCCCGAAAAAAAAAACUUUAGAAUAUAUGAGCUUUCUUUGCACAAUUUGAGUCAACUUAUAAAUUAAUAUAUGUUCUUAUCAUAUAAUAUGAAGUACUUUGGUCCUAGGCUCACUGUGGUUUAUGCCUAUAUUGGUGUGUUAGAUGGGCAGCCAUAGCUUCUUAUCUCCCAGAGAGAACUGAUAAUGACAUCAAGAACUAUUGGAACACCCAUCUGAAGAAGAAACUAAAGAAGCUCCAAGCUGGUGAUGGCAGCUCAAUGAGUGGUGGGCUUUCUUGUGAUCAAUCUGUCCCCAAAGGCCAGUGGGAGAGGAGGCUCCAAACUGACAUCCAUAUGGCAAAGCAAGCUUUAAGAGAGGCACUGUCUGCUAGACAAGCCCAAUUGCCUAGCAGAAUUGAAGCCCUCCAAUGGCAGCUACUCUUUUACAAAACUAAGCCAACCGGCAACAUCGUCAUCGAUGACACCCUAUGCAUCAAAUACUGAGAACAUAUCACGACUGCUCGAAGGGUGGAUGAAGAAUCCACCCAAGUCGAGAGCAGCUCAGACCAAUUCGGAGUCUACGCAACAUUCGAUCAACAAUAUUUUUGAGUUCUUCUUGGUUAGUUUUCUUGAUUCUGUUGUGAUGUGUUAGUGUGUUGAUUAGAUAUCCUCUUGACUUCUUCUUCAACCUCUCCUUCCACAUGGUGAGCUUGUUACUAAUUGAGACCCUAAUUUAGUUUGGAUGCAGAGGGUCUACAACUCUAGAUCUAAAAAGGUGGUCUUUAGUGUCCAAUUUUGUUUACGCUGUCUGGUUAUUCGUUUAUUAAAUCCUCUCUUGUAUUUGGUAGGGCUGAUGAGAUGCAACAAGAGCUGUAGGCUAAGAUGGACUAAUUACCUGAGGCCAGGGAUCAAGCGAGGCAACUUCACAGAACAAGAGGAGAAGCUCAUAAUCCAUCUCCAAGCUCUUCUUGGCAAGGUUGGGACUGACUCAUCCUCCAGCGAGGAAUCAGCCAGUGCAGCCAACCAUGAUCUCACUGCAGCGCCAACUAUGCUUGAAUCAUUGCUCAAUGUGGACUCGUCGACACCAGAGAUGUCUGAAACAAGCUUCUUCCAAGGUGAAAGCAGUACAAUCUCAGAUUCACACAUGCCACUCUCCUCGCUUGAGACCUGGCUCUUGGAUGAAUUUUUUGGUUCAGUGAAGGUAGAACUAAUUGACAUGCCAUUAGGUGAUACUACCGAGCUGAUCUAAACCAAGUGCUGUUGGAGUGGGUUUUGGUUCAUUUUUCGUGUAGGCCUUGGACUGA